AACGAACGCUGGCGGCAUGCCUAACACAUGCAAGUCGAACGAUCCCUUCGGGGCUAGUGGCGCACGGGUGCGUAACGCGUGGGAACCUGCCCUUAGGUUCGGAAUAACUCAGAGAAAUUUGGGCUAAUACCGGAUAAUGUCUUCGGACCAAAGAUUUAUCGCCUUUGGAUGGGCCCGCGUUGGAUUAGCUAGUUGGUGGGGUAAAGGCCUACCAAGGCGACGAUCCAUAGCUGGUCUGAGAGGAUGAUCAGCCACACUGGGACUGAGACACGGCCCAGACUCCUACGGGAGGCAGCAGUGGGGAAUAUUGGACAAUGGGCGAAAGCCUGAUCCAGCAAUGCCGCGUGAGUGAUGAAGGCCUUAGGGUUGCAAAGCUCUUUUACCCGGGAUGAUAAUGACAGUACCGGGAGAAUAAGCCCCGGCUAACUCCGUG
rnacentral:rRNA from 1 species